rnacentral:rRNA from 1 species
GUCCACGCCCUAAACGAUGUUAACUAGUUGUUGGGAAGUAAAAUUCUCAGUAACGCAGCCAACGCGAGAAGUUAACCGCCUGGGAAGUACGGUCGCAAGACUAAAACUCAAAGGAAUUGACGGGACCCGCACAAGCGGUGGAUGAUGUGGAUUAAUUCGAUGCAACGCGAAAACCUUACCUACCCUUGACAUGUCAGGAAGCUCUUGUAAUGAGAGUGUGCCCGCAAGGGAGCCUGAACACAGGUGCUGCAUGGCUGUCGU